GCGGAUGUGAUGGAACUGGCAGACAUGUAAGAUUUAGGUUCUUAUGCCGAAAGGCGUGCAGGUUCAAGUCCUGUCAUCCGCACCA
rnacentral:tRNA from 1 species